UACAGAGGGUGCGAGCGUUGUCCGGAAUCACUGGGCGUAAAGGGUGCGUAGGCGGGUUUUUAAGUCAGGGGUGAAAUCCUGGAGCUCAACUCCAGAACUGCCUUUGAUACUGAAGAUCUUGAGUUCGGGAGAGGUGAGUGGAACUGCGAGUGUAGAGGUGAAAUUCGUAGAUAUUCGCAAGAACACCAGUGGCGAAGGCGGCUUACUGGCCCGAUACUGACGCUGAGGCACGAAAGCGUGGGGAGCAAACAGG
rnacentral:rRNA from 1 species